rnacentral:lncRNA from 1 species
CACCAAAUCUUUAACCAAUUUGAUCACACAGAGAUCCUAGCGCCUAUUCCUUUUUAAAAGGAAUUUCUGUGGUUCACUUGGUUUUCAUAUGUGCUCUGCAUUUCUCUACCCCAGUGCCAAUUAAUUCUCAUCCUGGGGAUUUUUUCCUAAUAGUUAGCAAUUAAUUACCUGCAAAAAUUCUAUCCCUGACAUGGGUAGAUGUAUAAGACCCGCUAUUUAAAAAAGCAUAAACCGCAACAUAUUUUAAAUAUUUUGUUAUAUACCCAAGGUCAGCAUUGAUCCUUUUAUCUGGCCUCUCCUCCCACCUCCCUUAGGGUUUGAAAACCACUUCGUUCCCACUGGCAGCUGCAGGCGAAGCUUUCUCUCAGUGGGGUCAUUGUUUUUUUUCCCAAAAUUGAGCUGAGAUCCAUUUAAUGCACCAUGAAAACUAACUUAAUUAGGAAUCAAAUUCAUUCUUUUGUGAGACCAGCGGUAAGCGUCCAACACUCCCUCCGCUGCCGCCCCCACGUUUUUCUGCGUUUUUUGCUAAGCCGCCUCUGCUGAAGUCCGUGACUCCAGGGCAGCCGCCCCUCCACCGCUGCCCACCUGCCCCUGACUUCUCUCUCUCUCUCUCUCUCUCCAUUUUAAGCAACCGAGGCGCACUCUGGUUUUGCAAGUCUGACAUUCUUUACGUCGCCUUCCCGGAAAAAUUUGUCCAGGGCUGGCGUCCGGCCGAGGCGGUGCAUCUGACGCCCGGGAGAAGCAGAGCGCGUUUCUUUUGGCGUGGACCUGGGACCCCCGCGGGUUCCAGGGGCGGCACGCCUUGGGGUCGGCAUUGGGACCUGGCUGCGAGGCAGCUCGGCGGCCAGGAAGGCGCCGGCGGCGGCGGGAGGGUGCCAGGCAGCCCCGGCUGGAUUUGUGAAGAGGUGACCCAAAUUUCAAGACAAUGUUGGAUGCAAACGGAUUUGCCAGCAACUGCAUCACUGUCAAAACCAGCUCUGCCCGUGUCUUCCGAAGAUACCAAGUGAAAUACAUGUAGAUGGGAUUUACAUCUGAAAAACCAAGUGAGAAACUGAAGACCAGAGAGGGUGAGUGGUUUACUCAGUUUGGCACAACUGACCCCAACCUAGCCCUCCAUGAGGACUGAGCGCAUGAGAGAUCCUGAGCCACAGCCGCCCAGCCCUGCUCCUCUCGAAUUUCUGACCUACAGGAACUGCAAGAAGUAAUGAAAGACUGCUGUUUAAAGCCACUGCAUUUUGGCAUGAUUUGUUAUGCAGUCGUAGAUAACCAGAAAACAUCGGAUUUACAUUUUAAGGAUUACUUCAUGCACAUAAAAGAAAACGCAACUACAGUGGACCCUGAACAACGUAGGUAUGAACUGGUUCAACACGGGUUUGAGUCCACGUAUCCAUUUAUAUGUGAAUUUUUUUCAACCAAACAAGGAUGGAAAUACGAUGUUCGUGGAUGUGAAACCUGCACACACAGAGGGCUGACUGUUGGUAUCGUGGGUUCCACAGGGCUGGCUGCAGGACUAGAAUAUGCACAGAUUUGAUAUAUUGAGGGGUCCUGGAACCAAGUCUGCGAGUAUAGCAAGGAAAGAGUGUGUAUAUCUUAUUCCUCCUACACAAAAGUUAGUGCGUCAUACACACCAUUUUGCAGUUUGGCUCUCCCCCUAACAAUAUACCUUGGUGCUCCUUCCCUGUCAGCCCCCACAGAGCUUCCUCCAUCUUGGUGGCAGCUGUGUGAUAUUUAGUCUACUACCAUUUAUUUAACCAAGCUCCAUUGAUGGACAUUUGGCUGGUCACACACCCUGGCUGUUACAUCCUGUGGCCUCUCUCUGUCCCAUCUUCUAGAUCGCCUCCACCCUGCUUCCCUUGUCCUCACACCACACUCCAGCCCAGGAACCAGCCAAGUAAAGGGAGUACCCUUUCUCUUUUAGAAGGUGGGGCAAGAGGAUGGUGGUGAACAUUUUCCUUCUUUCACACACACAUGCCUUGGCAUUGCGUUUGCCUGCAUGCAGCUAUGGCCUGCAGCCACUGAAGAAUGCUUGCAUAAGGAGCUCUUCUCUGCACAUACCCCGACACAGUGAUGGUAUCUUGCAGCUGCUGCUUCUGUCCAAGGCACUGCAGCCUACUCGUCAAAAGCCCGAAGCCCAGCUCUGCCAGCAGUGCACUGUGUGCUCUUAGGUAAUCGCCUGGCUUCAGGACAAUGGGACAGUAACAGCUAACACUGGGACGGAGGUGCUUAUCAUGUACCCAGAACUACUCUUAAGAGCAUUGCAUAUUUAGCCUUAUUUGCUUAAAACAACAUUUUGAGGUCAGUCACAUACUUUCUCCACUGUGUCUUUCUGAGUCACAGAGAGGUUAAGUAACUUGUGCAAGGUCACACUGCUCAGCAGAACUAAGACUCAAUCUUAGCAAUCCAGAUCUAGGUUAUUAUGAGGGUUAAAGGUAUCAGUGAGCAGAACGCACUUGGACCCAGUACACAGCAGGUGCUCAUUGAAGCUUAGCUCUUGUCAUCAUGACUUGCCUAAGGAAUUGGGAUAUGGCUGGUCUUGCUUAGGUGGGGAGGAAGGAGAACUGAAAAAUACAACCCACACUUAGAAAAGUCUAAGAUUCCAAUUUACUCUGCCAAAUUUUUGAAAGCUCUGGAUUCAUGGAAGAGGAGGAGGGAGAGCAGCUAAGAGCAGCUCCUGCUGGGAUCAGGUGGGAAGUGCUGGGUGGGGUGAGUGAGCCCGGGUCACUCUGUUAUUACAAGCCCCGCCCGAGAAGCCUGGCUUCCCGUCUGACCUCCGAUCGUGCUAGCACAGGGCUCCGUCAACGUGAAAUGUGCAAAUGAUUUGGCGUCCCCCCUCCCUUGCUUUUCUUUGCAGGAAACAGAGAAGCAAAGAAGUUAGCAAGCUUGUUUUGGCAGAAGAAAAAACACAAAAUACCCAACCACAGAUCCUCAAAAAUAUUGCUAAGCACUAAUUUUGCUAACAUGUUAGACAGCCUUCGGAUCUAGGCAAUCUUGUUCCUCAGCUGGAAAGAGUUCCUGCCAGCCAUGUGAUUCCAAAUCCACCCUGGACAUAUGGGGAUAAUGAGAAAAUCAGCUCCGGCCUUCCCUGGCCUUCCAGCCAAGUGAAUGGGGGCAUCCCCUGGUGCUUCAGCCCGGGGCCCACCCAGAGGAUGCUAGCUGGCCUGCAGAGGCCUCAACCAUGCCCUCCUGGACUCAGGUAAGACUGAGGUUUCCAUGCCCUCAAAACAAUUGUUCAGACAAAAACUCACUGCCCAGGUCAAAGUCACAGCACCAGAAAGCCAACCUGAGGAUGAAGACAAAGCUCUUUGUUGGCACAGUCCCCUGAUCAUUCGAGGUCAGCAUCUCCAUCAAAAUGGACCCAAUGCUGAGGCAAGAAGGAGAACAUCACUGUUAAGAAGGUAAUGAGUCACAAAUGCUAUUUCGAUGGUUUUCUUUGAAAGAAAUACACAGAACCAAACCAAUUUUAAUUAAAGAUCUUGUCUUUGUAAUCAGGCAGCCACAAAUGAAGGCAAAACUGCUUUCAUGUGGCAUAAUAUACACAGAGCUGAACUAGUUUUCCCAUAAAAGGGCAGGUUCUUUUCUUCAAAUAAGAAAAGAGUUUGUUCCUAACAAUAUGGGGGAUGCAACAGAAAGCUGUCUUUUGCAAAGUAUAAAAUUGCAGAUCCUCCCGUGGAAGCCAUUUCUUGAUGCUAAACCAAUGCGAACGUUUGCCAAACGCACAUGCGAGCCGGGAUUAUCCUACCCUUUGAGAUUAGACAUGUGAUCCUGAUUUUUAAGUGAAAAACGCAGCCAGAGGCCAAAUAAACAUACCUACAAGUACAUCGAAAGCUCAAAUGGUUGAGAAAUGAUUGUAACACACCCCGGUGUGUAUUUCUGAGGAAGAAUCAACAUGCACAUGGAAAUUGAUGUUUUGAUUUUUAAUUUUAAAACGACGACAGAACUGAAAUACCUCCCCUAACUAGGUCCACUGAAACCAGUGAGGAGAUAAUCAUUUUCAGUUAAAUAUGCAUGUAAUUUAAUAAUCCACAGAUGGAAAAUGCAUUUGAGGUGGACUGAACACAGCCAGGAGUUUUUGCUUAUCGACAGCACUGAAUCCUGCCUUGACUAGAGAGACUCGUCAUGUGAUCAACUGUGGCCAGAGGGCAUCCUGCAGACAGCUCCUGUCACACCACACUGACCAGACUCUUAUGAGUAUUUAAGCAUCUUCAGGGAAGCGAUUGACUGUCUUAUAAUGGUCUUACAAGUACGGAACUUUAUUACCUGCUAAUAAUCAGAGCACAUGAUGGCACAAUAGAAUAUACGAGUGAAGUUCUAAAUGCAAGGUUGUUCUUAUUCUGUGAGUGGCAAAACUCAUGCAGUGAGCAGAUAAAGCUGGCAGGAGGCAUUGGCGCCCUAAUGCUGGGCACUAACCACCUGCCCGGACUGCGAAUAUCUGUUGGGUCCUUUCUAUAUCUGGUCUAUUCUCGUGUUUGAUUAUAUCCUGGUGGCAAGAAUAGCAAAAUCAACUCUCCUUCCUAUCCCAUGUGGAGAGGCAUGAUUUGAGUCAGAGAGCAUUAUCCUCUCUGCGUUAUCCAACCCCAUGUCCCAUGAUGCACUUUGUAGACAAGCAAGUGUCCCUGGUGGAGAAUCCACAGCCACACAUCCUCAUUGGUUGCAAGGAUCAGUGUCCAAUAUCUACUGCCAUGAUCAUUCUCAGUUUUACAUCCACAGAGCUUCAUAGAAUUCUAACACCACAGGUCCAAGUAGAGGUUUUGGCCUCAGAGUGGGCUAGAUUCCACCUCUGACAGCAGCUGUGGGACUGUUUUUCCAUCUGUAAAAUGGAGACAAGAGUAUCACCUACCUCAUGGUGUUGGUGGGAUCGUUAAACAGAAUUCCGAUCAUGAAACCCUUAGCCUGCUCCCUGCAUAGGCUGCAUGCGCUCAGUGAGCUAUGGCUCUGUUUCAUGCUGACUUUACCAUCAUGUAAGCAGUUUUAAAAAUGCUAGAAGCUUUAGUCAUAGAAUUACCAUAUGAUACAGCCUACUGCAGAGUCCAGAGGCUGAGGCAGGAGAGUUACUUGAACCUGGGAGGCGGAGGUUGCAGUGAGCCAAGAUCGCGCCACUGCACUCCAGCCUGGGCAACAGAGUGAGAUUCUGUCUCAACACAAAAAAGAAGACAUGUGUCCCCAUCACAGUAUCAUACAGAGUGCUUCCACUGCCCUAAAAUACCCUGUGCUCUUCCUAUUCAUCCCUCUCUUCAACCCCAGCAACCACUGAUCCUUUUACCAUCUCCAUGGUUUUGCCUUUCCCAGAAUGUCAUAUUGUUGGAAUCAUACGCUAUGUAGCCUUUGCAAAUGGGCUUCUUUCACCGAGCAAUGUGCAUUGAAGGUGCCUCUAUGACUUUUCAAGGGUUGAUAGCUCAUUCCUUUUUAUUGCUAAAUAAUAUUCCAUUGUCUGAAUGUACCACAUUUUGUUUAUCCAUUCACCUACUAAAGGACAUCUUGGUUGCUUCCAAGUUUGGGCAAUUAUAAAUAAAACUGCUAUAAACAUUG